UUGCAUCUACAACCGCUCAAAAUUAGGUUUAAGCUUCGGCACCUAACUGGCGAGUCUUAGAAAGGAG
rfam:Lactobacillus nodensis DSM 19682 = JCM 14932 = NBRC 107160 strain DSM 19682 NODE_11, whole genome shotgun sequence.